AAAAUACCCAUUGUUAAUUUCUUCCCUUUUAUUCCAACCAUCCAAAGAAAACAAAGAAAUAAGAAAAAAAAUUGCUUCUGGGUUGGUGAAGCAUUCCUCGUUCCUUUGUUUCUUCACACGCUUUUCCAACAGGGCUGUCUUCUCAAAACGACAUCGUCCUGUGUCGUUUUCGUUGACAGCCCCAUUCACAUAUUCACAUUCAG